rnacentral:rRNA from 1 species
UACGAAGGGGGCUAGCGUUGUUCGGAAUCACUGGGCGUAAAGGGCGCGUAGGCGGCCGAUCAAGUCGGGGGUGAAAGCCUGUGGCUCAACCACAGAAUUGCCUUCGAUACUGUUUGGCUUGAGACCGGAAGAGGUAAGUGGAACUGCGAGUGUAGAGGUGAAAUUCGUAGAUAUUCGCAAGAACACCAGUGGCGAAGGCGGCUUACUGGUCCGGUUCUGACGCUCAGGCGCGAAAGCGUGGGGAGCAAACAGG